UACUUGUAAAAUUUGUGUAUAAAGUGUUUUGAAUAUGAAUGAACAAAGUGCAUUUAUUAUUAAUGAAGAAAGUCAUAAAAAAAUAGUGAAAGAAAAUGAAGAAGAAAAGCGUAUAGAGCUAAAAAGAAAAAAAAACUAAUGCACGUCAAAGGGCAUAUUAUCAGCGUCAGAAAGAUUUGAAGAAAAAUGGAGAAAUAAUAAAAACAGUACCAAAAUCAAAUGCUGAACGUCAAAGGAAAUUUCGUCAACUUCAAAAAUUUCGUCGAUUUCAACAUUAACUUCGCUAAUAAAAAAUCAGAGCGGUUGACAACUUUUCUAUCAAAAACAUUGAAUUUGAAAAUGAAUAAUGAUCCACAAGAGUCCACAACAAAAUAUGGGACCACCAUUGACGCGGUAUUUUCUAGGUAUUUAGAGGAUAUUAAAUCGCAAACUUAUGUUUCUUAUUUCAGUUAUCAUAAGCCUAUAGUUUCAAUGAUAAAUAUUCCUGAAUAACCAACAGCUACUGUAAGAUAAUAAAACCCACAUGUAUUGUAAAAUAAUAAAAAUAUUUUAAACAAUA